rnacentral:rRNA from 1 species
AAAGCGCGCGCAGGCGGCUCUUUAAGUCUGAUGUGAAAGCCCACGGCUCAACCGUGGAGGGUCAUUGGAAACUGGAGAGCUUGAGUACAGGAGAGGAAAGUGGAAUUCCAUGUGUAGCGGUGAAAUGCGUAGAUAUAUGGAGGAACACCAGUGGCGAAGGCGACUUUCUGGCCUGAAACUGACGCUGAGGCGCGAAAGCGUGGGGAGCAAACAGGAUUAGAUACCCUGGUAGUCCACGCCGUAAACGAUGAGUGCUAGGUGUUAGGGGUUUCGAUGCCCUUAGUGCCGCAGUUAACACAUUAAGCACUCCGCCUGGGGAGUACGGCCGCAAGGCUGAAACUCAAAGGAAUUGACGGGGGCCCGCACAAGCAGUGGAGCAUGUGGUUUAAUUCGAAGCAACGCGAAGAACCUUACCAGGGCUUGACAUCCCGCUGACCGGUAUAGAGAUAUGCCAUUACCUUCGGGUACAGCGGAGACAGGUGGUGCAUGGUUGUCGUCAGCUCGUGUCGUGAGAUGUUGGGUUAAGUCCCGCAACGAGCGCAACCCU